GAUCCUGGCUCAGGACGAACGCUGGCGGCGCGCCUAACACAUGCAAGUCGAACGAGAGAUGAAGAGCUUGCUCUUCAAAUCGAAUGGCGAACGGGUGUGUAACGCGUGAGGAACCUGCCUCAAAGAGGGGGACAACAGUUGGAAACGACUGCUAAUACCGCAUAAGCCCACAGCUCGGCAUCGAGCAGAGGGAAAAGGAGUGAUCCGCUUGAGAUGC
rnacentral:rRNA from 1 species